rnacentral:misc_RNA from 1 species
GGAAGCAAAAGUCGUAACAAGGUCUCCGUUGGUGAACCAGCGGAGGGAUCAUUACAGGACUCGCAAGACUCCUACAACCCUGUGAACUUAACUAUAAGCACGUUGCUUCGGCGGGUGUCUCGGAGGGGGUUCUCCCUCCCCGAGACGCUAAACCCGCCGGCAGCUUACUAUACUCUGUCUCUUUGCGUUGGCAUCUCGAGUACAAUCAAACAAGUUAAAACUUUCAACAACGGAUCUCUUGGUUCUG